rnacentral:rRNA from 1 species
UACCAGCACCCCGAGUGGUCGGGACGAUUAUUGGGCCUAAAGCAUCCGUAGCCGGUCCUGCAAGUCUUCCGUUAAAUCCAGCUGCUCAACAGAUGGGCUGCGGGGGAUACUACAGGGCCAGGAGGCGGGAGAGGCAAGCGGUACUUUAUGGGUAGGGGUAAAAUCCGUUGAUCCAUAGAAGACCACCAGUGGCGAAGGCGGCUUGCCAGAACGCGCUCGACGGUGAAGGAUGAAAGCUGGGGGAGCAAACCGG